GGUAAACGCUGGCGGCGUGCCUAAAACAUGCAAGUCGAACGCAUCGAGCAAUCGGUGAGUGGCAGACGGCUGAGUAACGCGUGGGUGACCUGCCCCGAUGUGGGGAAGUAACUGCCCGAAACGGGUAGGCUAAUACCGCAUGAGCUUCGUACGUAUUGCGUCGAAGGAAAGUCGCAAGACGCAUUGGGAGGGGCCCGCGUCCGAUUAGCUGGUUGGUGGGGUAACGGCCUACCAAGGCGACGAUCGGUAGCUGGUCUGAGAGGAUGAUCAGCCAGACUGGGACU
rnacentral:rRNA from 1 species